rnacentral:rRNA from 1 species
UACGGAGGGUGCAAGCGUUAUCCGGAUUCACUGGGUUUAAAGGGUGCGUAGGAGGGCAGGUAAGUCAGUGGUGAAAUCUCCAAGCUUAACUUGGAAACUGCCGUUGAUACUAUCUGUCUUGAAUACCGUGGAGGUCAGCGGAAUAUGUCAUGUAGCGGUGAAAUGCUUAGAUAUGACAUAGAACACCAAUUGCGAAGGCAGCUGGCUACACGAAUAUUGACACUGAUGCACGAAAGCGUGGGGAUCAAACAGG